GGGAAAGGCUUUCAAGAAGUCUAAACCCAAGUCCAAGCCCAAGACCAAGGAUGAACCCAAAGCAAAACCGCCAAAGGAAGGAACUUGCUUUUUCUGCAAGGAACCUGGACAUUGGAAAAGGAAUUGCAAGAAAUAUCUGGAUGAUCUGAAGAAGAACAAGGGUAGUGAGACUACCACUUCAGGGUCUCAAAAGGAGUAGAAGUUUGACAAAAGGCGAAGUGGACCUACGAGUUGGAAAUGGAGCAAGAGUUGCUGCUUUAGCUGUAGGGACUUAUGAGUUAUCUUUGCCUAGUGGACUUAUUUUAUCUUUGAACAAUUGUUAUUAUGUACCUACCAUGUGUAGGAAUAUUAUUUCUGUUUCUUGUUUGGACAAGGAUGGUUUUGAAUUUAUUAUUAGGAAUAAUAAAUGCAGUAUUUCGCAUAAUAACAUUCUUUAUGGA